GUGCCAGCCGCCGCGGUAAUACCGGCAGCACGAGUGAUGGCCGAUAUUAUUGGGCCUAAAGCGUCCGUAGCUUGCUGUGUAAGUCCAUUGGGAAAUCCACGCGCUCAACGCGUGGGCGUCCGGUGGAAACUACACGGCUUGGGACCGGAAGGCUCGAAGGGUACGUGCGGGGUAGGAGUGAAAUCCUAUAAUCCCGCACGGACCACCGAUGGCGAAAGCACUUCGAGAAAACGGAUCCGACAGUGAGGGACGAAAGCCAGGGUCUCCAACCGGAUUAGAUACCCCGGUAGUCC
rnacentral:rRNA from 1 species